AUUCACAUUUCUCAGAAAUUUUACAACAAAACAAAAUGAAGGAUAUGUUGAGGCAACAAAGAAGGCGCAGUUUGAAAAUGAAGUUAUUAGUAUGAAGUAGCAGCGCAGGCACAUUUGGAAAAUUAUGCCGAUAAGCAAGAUGGAAUUUGGGAAAGCAAGUGCCUACUUGCAGCAUAUCUUAUGUAUUAAAAAAGUAUUUAAUUAAAUGAAAUGGUGCUUAAUAGAAAUGUUAUAAAUCGAGUGGCAUUAUUUAAGAUGUGCUUCAAACA